CCCAAAACCUCCACAAACCUUCCAAAUUCAAACAAAACAGAAAACCCCAAAAGCCCUAUCAUUUCUUCCAAUGUAUCCCGAAGAAGACCAGACGAAACCCUCUCAGAUCCAAGCCAAAAGACUAAUGCAUGAACAGAUCCUUGCUAUCAAUAGAGAAAGAAACACUUUGGAAACCAUUUGGAGUAAUAGAUUAGAUAAUUUCCAAAAACCAAAUCCGAGAGGAGCAAAUUAAGUCUGAUGGAGCUACCGUUGCCAAUCUCUUCAGCCAUCCGUUCUAACAUCCCUAGCGCCUCCUUAAUUCAGUACCGAUGAACCGAAAAUCGACGACCUUCUCCCGUUGGAGUGUGCGCAGCAGUGUUGGCUAUCCUUCCAAUAAAGAAAAAGGUUUGGAUGAAGCUACCUUCUUGAUAAUAGUGAUUGAAUCGCCCUCCACUUGAAUCAAUCGAGACCCCAACUCAGCCGCAAAAGUGAUAGCUUGCUCACAUGCUCAAGCUUCCGCAACGAGAGCAUCCAAAACACCAUGGUGGGGGUAAGUACACGCAACCAUGAUAAAUCCUACAGAGUUUCUAGCUAGUACUCUUGAUGCUUUAAACAGCGCCAUAAAUUUGAGAACAGCCCAAUACUUCCUCCGUAUGGAAAUGUGGUAGUAGCUCCUUGUUCAUUGCGAGUGAAAUUCUUCGUUAUAUAUUAUCAUAAAUUCAUGAUGCAUCCCCUGCCAUUGAAGCCGAAAAGAACUUUACGAAAUAGCUCGAAGCAAUCAUCAGUAGAUCUUCUCCAUUCGUUACCCAAUGACCCUACUCAUCCUCAAGACCUAGAAUUUUAUUUUUCCUUCUCCGAGUCGAAGUAAAAUUAUGAAAGAAUGUAGUAUUUUUAUCUCCAUUUACUAGCCAAUUAACUUGUGCCUUCUGCUUCCAGAACAAUUCCUCCUUAUCAACUUCUAAAUUCAAGCUAAUUUGGACUUCCAUAAGUUCAGCAAUAGUGUCUUCCUCAGGAUCACACUCAUACAAUUCCGCCAAUCUUGCCUCUAAGUUACCUUUACGUGCCACCCUUUCUCUUUUACUAUUUUUGCACCACUGUUGCAACUGUUUUCCCUGUAAGAGUAUGCCCAAAGAUCAAUCAUGAGAUGGUUGUAAUAACAUACUUGAUUUAUCAUGUUUAUUAAUAUAAGGCAAUAUAAGGCAUUACCAUUA